rnacentral:rRNA from 1 species
GAGGAGGGGGAUAACAGCGGGAAACUGCUGCUAAUACCCCAUAUGCCGAAAGGUGAAAAGAAAUUUGCCUUGAGAGGGGCUCGCGUCCGAUUAGCUAGUUGGUGAGGUAAGAGCUUACCAAGGCGACGAUCGGUAGCUGGUCUGAGAGGAUGAGCAGCCACACUGGGACUGAGACACGGCCCAGACUCCUACGGGAGGCAGCAGUGGGGAAUUUUCCGCAAUGGGCGAAAGCCUGACGGAGCAACGCCGCGUGGGGGAAGAAGGCCUUUGGGUUGUAAACUCCUUUUCUCAGGGAAGAAGAACUGACGGUACCUGAGGAAUCAGCCUCGGCUAACUCCGUGCCAGCAGCCGCGGUAAUACGGAGGAGGCAAGCGUUAUCCGGAAUUAUUGGGCGUAAAGCGUUCGUAGGCGGCGUUUCAAGUCUGCUGUCAAAGGCCGAGGCUCAACUUCGGAAAGGCAGUGGAAACUGAAAAGCUAGAGGUCGGUAGGGGCAGAGGGAAUUCCCAGUGUAGCGGUGAAAUGCGUAGAUAUUGGGAAGAACACCGGUGGCGAAAGCGCUCUGCUGGGCCGAACCUGACGCUGAGGGACGAAAGCUAGGGGAGCGAAUG